rnacentral:rRNA from 1 species
UACGUAGGAUGCAAGCGUUGUCCGGAAUUAUUGGGCGUAAAGAGCGCGCAGGCGGUCUAUCAAGUCAGAUGUGAAAUAUCCGGGCUUAACCCGGAGGGGUCAUUUGAAACUGGUAGACUAGAGUACAGCAGAGGAUAGUGGAAUUCCCGGUGUAGUGGUGAAAUGCGUAGAUAUCGGGAGGAACACCAGUGGCGAAGGCGACUAUCUGGCUGAAACUGACGCUGAGGCGCGAAGGCUAGGGAGCAACAGG